rnacentral:rRNA from 1 species
GACGAACGCUGGCGGCGUGCCUAAUACAUGCAAGUCGAGCGAACAGACGAGGAGCUUGCUCCUCUGACGUUAGCGGCGGACGGGUGAGUAACACGUGGAUAACCUACCUAUAAGACUGGGGUAACUUCGGGAAACCGGAGCUAAUACCGGAUAAUAUAUUGAACCGCAUGGUUCAAUAGUGAAAGACGGUUUUGCUGUCACUUAUAGAUGGAUCCGCGCCGCAUUAGCUAGUUGGUAAGGUAACGGCUUACCAAGGCAACGAUGCGUAGCCGACCUGAGAGGGUGAUCGGCCACACUGGAACUGAGACACGGUCCAGACUCCUACGGGAGGCAGCAGUAGGGAAUCUUCCGCAAUGGGCGAAAGCCUGACGGAGCAACGCCGCGUGAGUGAUGAAGGUCUUCGGAUCGUAAAACUCUGUUAUUAGGGAGGAACAAAUGUGUAAGUAACUAUGCACGUCUUGACGGUACCUAAUCAGAAAGCCACGGCUAACUACGUG